GACGUAGGAUGCGAGCGUUGUCCGGAUUUAUUGGGCGUAAAGAGUUCGUAGGCGGUUCGUUAAGUCUGAUGUUAAAGAUCAAGGCUCAACCUUGGGAGUGCAUUGGAUACUGGCGGACUUGAGUGCAGUAGAGGCGAGUGGAAUUCCUGGUGUAGCGGUGAAAUGCGCAGAUAUCAGGAGGAACACCAAUGGCGAAGGCAGCUCGCUGGGACGGUACUGACGCUGAGACGCGAAAGCGUGGGGAGCAAACAGG
rnacentral:rRNA from 1 species